rnacentral:misc_RNA from 1 species
GAUGAAGAACGUAGCGAAAUGCGAUAAGUAAUGUGAAUUGCAGAAUUCAGUGAAUCAUCGAAUCUUUGAACGCACCUUGCGCCCUUUGGCAUUCCGAAGGGCAUGCCUGUUUGAGUAUCAUGAACACCUCAACUCUUCAUGGUUUUCCAUGAUGAGCUUGGACUUUGGGGGUCUUGCUGGCCUGCGGUCGGCUCCUCUCAAAUGAAUCAGCUUACCAGUGUUUGGUGGGCAUCACAGGUGUGAUAACUAUCUGCGCUUGUGGUUUUCCACCAAGUAACCUUCAGCAGUGGAGGUUCACUGGAGCUCACAGACGUCUCUCCUCAGUGAGGACAGCCCUUUGAAUGUUUGAUCUCAAAUCAGGUAGGACUAUCCGCUGAACUUAAGCAUAUCAAUAAGCGGAGGA